GGGGAUGUAGCUCAGUGGCAGAGUGCUAGCCCGGCAUGCACAGGACCUGGGUUCAACCCUCAGUAUUGCCA
rnacentral:tRNA from 1 species